AUGGAUGGUAGAGAGCUUUCUUCAGUCCAAACAUAGGUUGUGGUAAGAUUUAAUUAGCUGCUGACUCAUUCAUCCAAAUGUUGAGUGAAGUUAAUUAAUGAAUACUAUACUCAUCAAAUGACUGAAUGAUGCGGGAGACAAAUUGAAUCUUAAGCUAUCUCUACUUGGACUGAAGGGAGCUCCCUUUCCAAAUUCA
rnacentral:pre_miRNA from 1 species